GACAACAUGGCCGAGCGGUCUAAGGCGCACGAUUCAGGUUCGUGUCUUUAUUGGCGUGGGUUCGAAUCCCACUGUUGUCA